rnacentral:lncRNA from 1 species
UCUGGGUGUCAGGUAUUUUCCAGGGAAACUGGCUCCUUUUUCUGAGUGUUUUCUGGGGCCAGUUGCUGGGUGCCCUCAGAGACGGAGUAUGUCCAUUGCCUGCUCUUCAAAGCAUUAGGAUAAUGUGUGUGUGCAGGGAAUGGGUGGGUGGAUAUUUUUAUCCCCCCCAUAACCAGGUGCAAGAGGGACAAGAAAAAUCUACUUCUAAAUUUGAAAGGUGCUGAGAAUACAACAAUGAACAACACAGAUUAAGCCUCUAUUUUUAUGGAGUGCCCUACAGUUAAAUGACAGAUGUCACUUUUGCUCUCAACUAAUUUACUAGCACUACUUAAAUGGCUCAAUUCAACUAUAAGGGAGAAAAGAAAUGAAAUCCUGCCAUGUACCUGGAGAUUGGAGUACAAGAAAUACUUGGUAAACAGCACAAAUGACCAUCACCACAGUGCACUCUUCUCACCACAAAACAUUUGGCCCAUUCUCUCUCUCACAGCCUAUGCAGGAAGAACAAAGGUUAGAGGAAAAUGAAACACAUUAUUAUUGCUGGGAGCAAACAGAAGACACACUAUGAAGAAGAGAUGGAGUUUGAGCAUCCUGGCAAAUCCAGACUGAAGUUAAAUGACAUCCACCAAACAACUCCAGGCUGUGAAGAAACAGACAGCUCUCCUCCCACUUCUCAUCUUCCUUUUCUAGGCCAUUAAACUGUGCACUGAAAAAGAUGAAGAUACCUCCCCAGGCUUUGGAAUUAUCAAAAUAACUUUGGAAUUCUUGAUAUUGAUUAAUAUCAAUACUAUUCCUAUUCUAUUCAAGUCAACUAAGACAAUGUUUUCAAAUUUUAGAUUAUGAUUCAUUAGUUGAUAACAAAAUCAAUUUAAUUGGCUUUAAAAGAGACAUAAAAUAGAAAAGAAAAUAUAAAAGCAUGCAUCACAUGCAGUAAGGACGAGUCUAUGUAUGUAAACAUUUUGUUUCAAAUAUAUAUGUGUGUUUGUUUAUAAGAUGUACAUAUUGCGAUAGUUUAAUGUUUCUUAUUGUGAGUUAUAGUCAACAAAGUGUUCAAAAAUUAUUUAAUUAAAAUGUAAGCUCCCCAAAGGUAGAGUUUUUGCCUUGUCCACCAUUGUUCAUCCAGCACCUAAAACACAUACAUAAUAAAUAUUAGCUGAAUAAAUAUAUGGCCUGGGGAAAGUCAAUGAAUCUGUUUUCUGAUCUGUAGAAGAAUAAAGUCUACCUUAUAGGUUUGUCAUUGGAACUAAUAAAAAUGAG